rnacentral:rRNA from 1 species
AAGUUAGUGGCGAACGGGUGAGUAAUGCAUCGGAACGUACCGUGUGAUGGGGGAUAACUAACCGAAAGGUUGGCUAAUACCGCAUACGCCCUGAGGGGGAAAGUGGGGGAUCGCAAGACCUCAUGUCAUACGAGCGGCCGAUGUCAGAUUAGCUAGUUGGUGAGGUAAAGGCUCACCAAGGCGACGAUCUGUAGCGGGUCUGAGAGGACGACCCGCCACACUGGGACUGAGACACGGCCCAG